GGGGAAUAUUGCACAAUGGGCGAAAGCCUGAUGCAGCGACGCCGCGUGAGGGAUGACGGCCUUCGGGUUGUAAACCUCUUUCAGCCGGGAAGAAGCGAAAGUGACGGUACCUGCAGAAGAAAGUCCCGGCUAACUACGUGCCAGCAGCCGCGGUAAUACGUAGGGGACAAGCGUUGUCCGGAUUUACUGGGCGUAAAGGGCACGCAGGCGGUUUUUUAAGUCAGAUGUGAAAGGUACCGGCUCAACCGGUAACAUGCAUUUGAAACUGAAAGACUUGAGUAUUGGAGAGGCAAGUGGAAUUCCUAGUGUAGCGGUGAAAUGCGUAGAUAUUAGGAGGAACACCGGUGGCGAAGGCGGCUUGCUGGACAAAUACUGACGCUGAGGUGCGAAAGCAUGGGGAGCGAACA
rnacentral:rRNA from 1 species